rnacentral:lncRNA from 10 species
CUUGAUCUGAAUACUGGUUACAUAGUACAUUAAUUUAUGGAAAUUCAUCAUGGUAUAUCCUUAUGAUUUUUAAACUUUGUAUAUAAUUUAACAGUAUAACAAACUCAAACUCUAAUCAGUGAUUUUCAGAAAAAUAUUUGGAUGUUGUAUUAGUCUGUUUUCACACUGCUAUAAAGAACGACCUGAGAGAGGGUAAUUUAUAAAGAAAAGAGGUUUAAUUGACUCACAGUUCCAAGUGGCUGGGGAGGCCUGAGGAAACUUACAAUCAUGGCAGAAGGCGAAAGAGAAGCAAGUCACGUCUUACAUGGCGGCAGGAGAAGGAGCGUGUUGAAGGAAGUGCCGCACUUUUAAACAUCAGAUCUCAUGAGAUCUCACUAUCACAGAACAGCAUGGGGAAAAUCUGCCCCCAUGAUCCAAUUACCUCCUACCAGGUCCCUCCCCUGACAGGUGGGGAAUUACAAUUCGAGAUGAGAUUUGGGCAGGGACACAGAGUCAAACCAUAUCAGAUGUUAAAACCUUUUUUUUCCUUUUUGAGUUGUCAGUUUUGAAUAUAAUUAUUUCAAAAAUUUCAUUUUGUUUCCUUUUCAAAUUCUGCCUAGACAUUUUUAAUAGCAUUUUGCUCAUGUUUUCAAAUCCAUCUUUUAUUUCUAGAAACAUUUUAGGACAUUUCAUUUAUAUUCUGACUGAUAAUUCUUAAAUUCAAGUUCUUGGGAAGUCUAAUUCUACUGUUUGUUGUUUCCACUGAUGGCUUGUUUACUCUGUGUAACUGGAAACUUUUCAUUGUGAAGUCAUAUGUGGUUGAUUUUAAUCUGUGAGAAUUCUAAAGAGCCCCAGCUGUGGGAACAUUCCUACAAAGCUGAUUCUCUUCCGAUUCUGCUGGAAUCCUGAGUCUCUCUCAAACUGGAAUUAUCUUAACAAUUCUUUUGCUUGAGGUUUCCUGGACGGCAUAUGUGGAUAAUGGUCUCACUCUGUCAUCCAGGCUGGAGUACAGUGGCAUGAUCCUAGCUCACUGUAGAUUCGAAAUCCUGUUCCAGUGGUCCUCCCACCUCAACCUCCUGAUCAACUGAACUACAGGAAUGCACCACCAAACCCAGCUAAUUAUUUUUUUGUAGAGGUGGGGGUCUCACAAUGCUGCCCAGACUGUUCUCAAACUCCUGGCCUCAAGUGAUGUUCCUGCCCAGGCCUAAAAUUUUAAGGAGCAGGUGAUGUUUAGCCUGGAGAACUGAAGGCUCAGGAAGAACGGGGUCUUCAAACACCUGAAGGACUGUCUCAUGAAAAAGAGAUGCACAAGACAGGAGAAUUGAGCAGAGAGAUGUUUAACUCAAAUCGAAGAACAAAGACAGCAUUGAAUCACCACCUAUCAAGGGUCUUACUUGAAUAGACUUUGGUUUGGAUGAGAGGCUAUAGAAGAAAACCUCAAAAGUCUCUUCCAAUUCUAAGGUUUCAUGAUUCCAGGCAUUUGGAGAAUUAGGAAAAAUAAUCACUUAAAAAAAAAACUAUUUAGUGCCAAGCUUCCUAAAACAUCUUUAAAAUGUCCAAUAUCCAUGAAUCAUAGGGUAUUAUCCAUUUUAUUUGAAAACCAUGGAACUCUACUACUAGAACUUCAUUCUAGGUUGUUUAAAACAAAGUACAAUGCAAAACUGUCUUCUUUCAUAAGAACCAUUUUCUAGAUGGGCAUAGAUUCUUUGAGGGAAUUCUUAUCAUGCAGAUAUUUUACUUCAAAAUCUAAACUUGUACCACUUUACUGGAAUGAAAUAUUAACGCUAUUAAUUUAAACAUCAUAACAUUUUUUAAAAAUAAGGUGUUAAAAUAAUAUUUAUUCAUCAAUCCUAUACCACUACAAUAUUUUAGAUCAGUGAUUUAAUAUCUGAAAAAAUUUAUCACAUACUAUGCAUACCACUGAUCAGCAGAGGCUGAAAUUUUACUGUAACUUCAGUCCAAAGAUACAGGUUUUAAUUUGAGUUCUCCAUAAUUCACAGAAAUAUUUAAGGGUAAAUAUAAGUCUUAAUUAAAAUCCCUAUUCUCCCAGCAUGUGCUAAACCCACCCUGCUCCACAUGCAGACCCUUGGCCCCAAACAAUCCCGAGAGGAUGUUGGCUCAGAGCAGCAAGGAGCUGACAGAUGGGGCAUUCGGUAAAGGAGUGGUGCUGGGUUUUUUCAUUUUUGUUAGAGACGAAAGCUGUGGGAAAAACAUUCUCCACUUAAUCUAUUUUAUUUUCAGCAAGGUUUUACCUGUAAAUAUUAAUUUAUACACCAGCAAAACUCACUAGAUGCCUGGGCUACAUGAAUAUAAAUGAAAUAAAGCUAUCCAAACUAAAAAAUGAAAUUUCCUGUAUCUUCCUUUCUCAGGCAGAGGAAAAAUAUCCAAGGAUUUAAAAUUCUAUCCAGUGGUUUCAAAGGCAACAAAAGAUCUCACAUUGAGCUCUCAUUUAAAUAGGUGGGGUUAACCAGGGUAGAAAUUACAAGUUAAAGUGCUGCAGCAUAAAGAAGAAAAAUAAUCAUUUAUGCCAUUUUCAAUACAGAAUUUAUUUCCAAAUCAAAACCCUUUACACUUGGAAUAUUGUCAAAUCUCAAAUUUUUACCUUGCUGAGAUCUACGACCACCUUUUGAAACUGAGACAGUGUAGGUAUGAUUACUCCCUGUAUACUCAAGGGUUAGGAAAAUGGAAAAGAACCGUGAGCCCCUCAAGAAUGGUGGCUUUUCUUAUUGGAAUGAAGUAAAUAAAAUAAAUUCAUUGACAAUGCAUUUAAUUUCUUUCUUAGCAAUUAAUUGUGUAUCUACAUUGAAUGAUAACCGUGUAAACAGUCAAGAUAUGCAUGUGGCAAAUGAAAAAUAAAGCAAAAUGUUUUAUCC